UACGUAGGUGGCAAGCGUUAUCCGGAAUUAUUGGGCGUAAAGCGCGCGCAGGCGGUUUCUUAAGUCUGAUGUGAGAGCCCACGGCUCAACCGUGGAGGGUCAUUGGAAACUGGGGAACUUGAGUGCAGAAGAGAAAAGCGGAAUUCCACGUGUAGCGGUGAAAUGCGUAGAGAUGUGGAGGAACACCAGUGGCGAAGGCGGCUUUUUGGUCUGUAACUGACGCUGAGGCGCGAAAGCGUGGGGAGCAAACAGG
rnacentral:rRNA from 1 species